AGGGCACCACCAGGAGUGGAGCCUGCGGCUUAAUUUGACUCAACACGGGAAAACUCCCCCGGCCCGGACACUGGAAGGAUUGAGAUAUUGAGAGCUUUUUUUUGAUUCAGUGGGUGGUGGUGCGUGGCCGUUCUUAGUUGGGGGAGCGAUUUGUCUGGUUAAUUCCUAUAACGAACGACACUCUAGCCUAUUAAAUAGACUGCGGGGCCUUAAGCCCCCUACUUCUUUCUUAAAGGGACGGGGGGCACCCAAGCCGCAUUAAAAAAAAAAAUAACAGGUCUGUGAUGCCCUUAGAGGGGCGGGGCCCCACGCUACCCUACACUGAAGUGAUCAGCGUGAUUUUUUGCCCUACUCUGUUGGGAGAGCGUAACCCCAUUGAACCUGCUCCGUAUCUGGGAUUGGGAUUUGUUAUUUUGCACCUUGAAUUAGGAAUUCGCGUGAGGCGCGAGUUAUCAUUUAUUGUUUCUUAGCUCUCUGCCCUUUGUACACGUCGCCGGUCGCUACUACCGAUUGAAUGUU
rnacentral:rRNA from 1 species